UACGUAGGGUGCAAGCGUUGUCCGGAAUUAUUGGGCGUAAAGAGCCCGUAGGCGGUCUGUCGCGUCGGAUGUGAAAAUCCAGGGCUCAACCCUGGACCUGCAUUCGAUACGGGCAGACUAGAGUUCGGUAGGGGAGACUGGAAUUCCUGGUGUAGCGGUGAAAUGCGCAGAUAUCAGGAGGAACACCGGUGGCGAAGGCGGGUCUCUGGGCCGAUACUGACGCUGAGGAGCGAAAGCGUGGGGAGCGAACAGG
rnacentral:rRNA from 1 species